rnacentral:rRNA from 1 species
CCUACGGGGGGCUGCAGUGAGGAAUAUUGGUCAAUGGCCGAGAGGCUGAACCAGCCACGUCGCGUGAGUGAAGAAUGUCCUAUGGAUUGUAAACCUCUUUUGUCAGGGAGCAAGGGCGCCCACGUGUGUGUGUUGGAGAGUACGUGAAGAAAAAGCAUAGGCAAACGCGGUGCCAGCAGCCGCGGUAAUACGGAGGAUGCGAGCGUUGCCCGGUUUUGUUGGGUUUAAGGGGAGCGUAGGCGGGUUAUCAAGUCAGGGGUAAAGUCGUGGAGCUCAACUCCAUCCAGCCUUUGAAACUGAUGAUCUUGAGUGGGCGAGAAGUAUGCGGAACUCGUGGUGUAGCGGUGAAAUGCAUAGAUAUCUCGCAGAACUCCGAUUGCGAAGGCAGCAUACCGGCGCCCGACUGACGCUGAGGUACGAAAGCGUGGGUAUCGAACAGGAUUAGAUACCCUGGUAGUC